CGAAAAGUAAUUCCACGAACUUUAAAAUACAAUAUACAAAGAUUAAAGGCAUGGCCUGCAUGGGGAUACUUCCGGUAAGCAGUCAACCCACAAAAACGAAAUGCUUUUAGAGGUCAUUUCAGUGCCUCGAAAAUUUCGCGCUAUAUACGGUAUGUGCAAAGUCUGGACUUCAACUUCCUGGAAAUUACCCAGUAUAAUAUAAUUAUGGUCAAAUUGAAAACCAACAUAACACACGACACUUGCAUCAUAACCACGAAAUUCAGAACAAUAUUAGACUGUUAGACAGAACACUAUUAGACUAGACUCUGGGAGAGCUGUUGACCAAUUAAGUAAAUAGUUUUACCUACUGUAUAGUAGUGAAAGUCAUGGUGCUUCAUACUCUAUUUCAUUAUCAGUUGGUAGCUGUUCUUCUGAUAUAUGUGCAACAAGCAGAUCAACAAGAAUGUAUGUAUGAGUACAUUGAACAGCCACCGCCGUCGGGAUCUGCCAUUAACUGUAAUUUUUAUGGUUCAGUCCUCAGACUUCAAUGUGCCAUAACAGCACCACUUGAUACAGCAGUCAACAUCAACUGGUACCACCAUAAUGACAACAUAACCACUGAACUGACUACUAACCAAUUGGAAACAUCUACUGAAGAUGUAAUAAGUGGAAGAGAAACAUUUAGAUCUGUACUCACUCUGACCAACAUUCAGCCAGCGGUUGAUACUGGAGAUUAUUACUGCCAAGCUGCUAUCAACAGCUUUAAUCUUCAACCUAGUGACACUUUCACUCUCAGUAGUGAUGAUAUAAUUAACUUUAUGGUACUUAGGGAUUGUGAAUCAAUAGAAGUAUUUUACAUAUCCUCAAUAAAAUGUGCCGAUAUAGUUACACCCUCACACUCUACACACUCUACUACACCCACACAAACUAUGGAUUACACCUUCACACACAAGCUCCGUGAAAGUGCCUCUCCUCUCAUCCUCCAAAAUCAUUAACACGAGUGGAACAAUCAGUAAACCCUACUGCUGCUCCUGGAGUUGGAGUAGGGAUCUACAUAACUAUAGGUGUGAUUGCUGUAUUCGGCCUGUUUUUUCUUAUCAUAUCAAUAACACUGAUUGUUGCACUGUGCCUACUUAAAAGGAAACAGAAGGACAUCCUGACUCAGACACGUUCAUUACCAGCUGAAUAUGAAGUACCACUCAACUCUGAAGCUGUACACAACGAGAAUGGGCAAACAUUCACAGUGAAGUCCAACGAUGCUUACACGACUACUACCAUGGCCGACAGUAGGCCAGGUACUACAGUCGAGGAACAGCUCAGAAUGUCUUCAAAUGAAGCAUACAGCACUGCUGUCGAGUAUAAUGAAGACAAUGAAGACAAUGAGUACGAUUAUAUUACGUAAAUAACGUUCUCAAUAGAAUCAACAUUAUCCAUUAUCCAUUACCCUGUUAAUUAUUUAGCGUUGUGUGUCUUUUACAUACAACAUUAUUUUGCUAUUAAUUUUAACCUGAGGAGCAUAGGCGGCCAUGGGUUAAUUAUGUUUAUCUGUAUUACGUAUGAUAAUUAUAUUUUCGCGAGUAUUAAUUUCUGCUAUUUCU